CCAGUUUCCAAAUCAGUUUUGAUAUGUAUUUUAUUUAUAUGUAAAAAUUAACUUUUAAUGAAGUGCUUAGUAGGAAAUUUAACUUGCGUAGUUAACAGAAUCUAAAAUUAACAUCUUUACUCUCUUCCUAUUCUUUAGAGAUUUUUGUACAAAGUCUGAUUUAUCUCUUCAACUUACAAAUUGUUGUCUAGAAUUCUAGUUCUAUCUCGAUUUUACUACAAAAGUAGUUAUUUUGUAUAGUCAGUGUUUAUGUAGAUUUACCUAGAAGUUUGCUAUUUUAUUAUCCUUGAAAGUUAGCUAGGUAUACGAUUAUAGGUUGACAGCUGUUUUCUCAAAUAAUAUUCUACUGUCUUCUUGCUUCCAUUGCUGCUUCUGAAAUGACAGUUGUCAGUCUGAUCAGUAUUUGUAGCUAAUCUGCCUUCUUUCUCAGGUCAUAUUUAAGAUCUUUAUCUUUGGUGUUCUACAGUCAAAUGUGGCCAUGCUACAGUAUGUUUAGCUGUAUAUUUCUUUUCAUUGUCCUGUUGGGAUUGAUUGAGAUUCCUGAAUCUGAGAAUUGGUACUUUUCAUAAAUUCUGAAAAAUUCCCAGCUACUGUCUCUUUGAAUAUUGUAUCUCCCUCAUUCUCUCUAUUCUCUCCUUUAGGAAAUAAAAUUAAGACUUCUGUUUUAUGAUCUCACUGUCCUCUCCAUAUCUCUUAAUCCCUGUUUUAUAUUUCCCAUCUCUCUGUCUCUAGGUGUUGAAUUCUGGAUAAUUUCUUUAAAUCUAUUUCAUUAAUACUGUCUUCACUCUAUCUCUAACCUAUUUUACCCAUCUGUUGUUAAUUAUAGUUAUUAUUUUUUUUAUUUUCAAAAGAGUUGUUUGGUUCUUUCUUAAACUUUCCUGGGUUGACAGUGUCCUCUGAGGCUUUACAAGUCCUCCUGCUCAUCCAGCUCAGUCCCUGUUAUGGACUGAAUUUUGUCUCCCCUGAAUUCAUCAAGUAAAGCUGUAACCACAUUGUGACGGUAUUUGGAGACAGGGCCUUUAAAGAGGUAAUUAAGGUUAAAUGAGGUCAUAGGGCGGAGAAGAGAGACCCCAGAGCUCUUCCUGCACAUAGAGGAAAAGUCCUGAGAUCACAGCAGGAAGGCAGCCAUCUGCAAGCCAGGAAGAGGCGCCUCAUAGGAACCACAUUUUUCAGGACCUUGGCCUUAGACUUCUUGCCAGCACAUCUUUAAGAAAAUUAAUUUUUAUUUAAGCCACCAAGCUUGUGGUAUUUUGUUAUGGCAGGUGGAGAAGACUGAGAAAGUCCCUCACUUUGAUUCCUGUCCCUCACGCAGGUAUGGCUCCUAACAACUGGGGCCUUCCUAGGCUGCAGGGAUGGGGAUGCCUUUAGGGCAGUUAUCCAGAGCUGAAUUACCCUAUAGAAUGUCCCAGUCUCCUGAGCUGCCUUCAGUUGUUUUCACUAAUUUGCCAUAAAUUCAGUCAAGAAUAAUAAAUAAAGUUUAAAUUUUUUUCUAGCAUUUCUGGUGUUCAGUGGCCAGACAGAUUUCUCUGUACAGAAAUGGCAUGUUAUACAAGUACAUGGUGAUUUUAUCAUAUUCUCCAAAAAAGAACACGCCCAUAUUCUAGUGUAAACGAUACCUUUUUACUUUUUCAAUAUUACACUAAAUCUUUUAUAUUAGAUUAUUUCCUGUUAUCCAUGAACUAAUAUGAUUGUCUCUAUUGCUUCUAUUGGAUUGAUCUUUUACUGUUUAUGAGCUAAUGAAGGCAAAUAAGAGUUCAGUAGUGUUCUAAACCUGCGUAACUCUUACCUGAAUACCUGAUUUUGGAAUUUUUAAUCUUUAGGACAUUAUUGUGCUUUGUGAAAAUGUCUCAGGCUACUAUUAUGGGCAUGAAAAUAGAGGGGGCUUGAUCUGUGCUAUUAAACCCAAAGUGCCAUGAAAAUCUGGAGGAGUCACAGAUGCCUCCAAGAUACAUAGUGAAUUCUCUUCUUUGCUUUUAUAAUACAUAAACUUUGUAUCUGAACAUUUCCAUGUACUGUUUGAACAGUUUCCUACUGUGCAUGGGUUUUCU
rnacentral:lncRNA from 1 species